rnacentral:rRNA from 1 species
AUUGAACGCCGGUGGCAUGCCUUACACAUGCAAGUCGAACGGCAGCGGGGGAGAAGCUUGCUUUUCCUGCCGGCGAGUGGCGAACGGGUGAGUAAUACAUCGGAACGUGCCCUGUAGUGGGGGAUAACUAGUCGAAAGAUUAGCUAAUACCGCAUACGACCUGAGGGUGAAAGUGGGGGACCGCAAGGCCUCAUGCUAUAGGAGCGGCCGAUGUCUGAUUAGCUAGUUGGUGGGGUAAAGGCCUACCAAGGCGACGAUCAGUAGCUGGUCUGAGAGGACGAUCAGCCACACUGGGACUGAGACACGGCCCAGACUCCUACGGGAGGCAGCAGUGGGGAAUUUUGGACAAUGGGCGAAAGCCUGAUCCAGCAAUGCCGCGUGUGUGAAGAAGGCCUUCGGGUUGUAAAGCACUUUUGUCCGGAAAGAAAUGGCUCUGGUUAAUACCUGGGGUCGAUGACGGUACCGGAAGAAUAAGGACCGGCUAACUACGUGCCAGCCGCCGCAGUAA